UAACAAGGUUUCCGUAGGUGAACCUGCGGAAGGAUCAUUACCC
rnacentral:rRNA from 1 species